GAUGAACGCUGGCGGCGUGCCUAAUACAUGCAAGUCGAGCGAACAGACGAGGACCUUGCUCCUCUGACUUUAGCGCCGGACGGGAGCGUCACUCGUGGUUAACCUACCUAUCAGACUGGGAUAACUACGGGAAACCGGAUCUAAUACCGGAUAAUAUAUUGCACCUCAUGGUUCACUAGUGAAAGUCGGUUUUGCUUUCACUAAUAGAUGGAUCCGCCUCGCAUUAGCUAGUUGGUAAGGUAACGGCUUAACAAGGCAACGAUGCGUACCCGACCUGAGAGGGUGAUCGGACACACUGGAUCUGAGACACGGUCCAGACACCGACGGGAGGCAGCAGUAGGGAAUCUUACGCAAGGCGGGAGAGCCGGACGGAGGAACGCCGCGGGAGUGAUGAAGGAGUUCGGAUCGGAAAACUCUGUUAUUAGGGGAGAACAAAUGUGUAAGUAACUAGGAACGUAUUGACGGUACCGAAACAGAAAGCCACGGCUAACUACGUG
rnacentral:rRNA from 1 species